GCCGGUUUAGCUUAGUGGCAGAGCGUUGCACUUGUACGUCCCGAUUCUGGGCUAUUUCAAUGCAAAGGUCGGUUGUUCAAUCCAGCCAACCGGCA